AUUGAACGCUGGCGGCAGGCCUAACACAUGCAAGUCGAGCGGAUGAAGGGAGCUUGCUCCUGGAUUCAGCGGCGGACGGGUGAGUAAUGCCUAGGAAUCUGCCUGGUAGUGGGGGAUAACGUCCGGAAACGGGCGCUAAUACCGCAUACGUCCUGAGGGAGAAAGUGGGGGAUCUUCGGACCUCACGCUAUCAGAUGAGCCUAGGUCGGAUUAGCUAGUUGGUGGGGUAAAGGCCUACCAAGGCGACGAUCCGUAACUGGUCUGAGAGGAUGAUCAGUCACACUGGAACUCAGACACGGUCCAGACUCCUACGGGAGGCAGCAGUGGGGAAUAUUGGACAAAGGGCGAAAGCCUGAUCCAGCCAUGCCGCGUGUGUGAAGAAGGUCUUCGGAUUGUAAAGCACUUUAAGUUGGGAGGAAGGGCAGUAAGUUAAUACCUUGCUGUUUUGACGUUACCAACAGAAUAAGCACCGGCUAACUUCGUG
rnacentral:rRNA from 1 species